AAUACCUACGGGAGGCAGCAGUGGGGGAUAUUGCACAAUGGGGGAAACCCUGAUGCAGCGACGCCGCGUGGGUGAAGAAGCGCCUCGGCGCGUAAAGCCCUGUCAGCAGGGAAGAAAAUGACGGUACCUGGGGAGGAAGCUCCGGCUAACUACGUGCCAGCAGCCGCGGUAAUACGUAGGGAGCAAGCGUUGUCCGGAAUUACUGGGUGUAAAGGGAGCGUAGGCGGGGAUGCAAGUUGGGGGUCCAAACUAUCGGCU
rnacentral:rRNA from 1 species